UACGGAGGGGGGUAGCGUUGUUCGGAAUUACUGGGCGUAAAGCGCGCGUAGGCGGAUCGGAAAGUUGGGGGUGAAAUCCCGGGGCUCAACCCUGGAAUGGCCUUCAAAACUCCCGGUCUUGAGGUCGAGAGAGGUGAGUGGAAUUCCGAGUGUAGAGGUGAAAUUCGUAGAUAUUCGGAGGAACACCAGUGGCGAAGGCGGCUCACUGGCUCGAUACUGACGCUGAGGUGCGAAAGCGUGGGGAGCAAACAGG
rnacentral:rRNA from 1 species